AUUUCUGCUCGAGGCAUUGAGGCGUCAUUCUGACUCGAAGUUUAGGAAAGUACACAUUAAAGUUGGUGCAAAACAUCGCUUUUAUGAAACGUUUUCGAAAUAAAAUCGUUAUGCCAUGCAGAGGGAAAGGUCAGUAUUAAGUUUAGCUAUUUUUUAGUUGUACUUGUUAAGUUAUAUUGCUGUUAUUAAAACACGUGUCUAUAUUCAUUGUAGUACGUAUUCAAUUUCAUAUUCCCAUUCAAGCGCUUCGUUUCAUUGCUCAGUCACUUUAUUUUCUCAGUGUCUCUCCCUAAUUUCCUAGCAGUAAUGUUCAGAAAUACCCCAGCAUUGAUUUAUUUAACUCAUAUUUAGUUUAUCUGCAAUUUCAGGGCGAAAAUUUGAAGAGAAAAGUGAACUAAUUUAAGUCGCCGACAUGGUCGAAAUGCCGAAGCACUUGGUAAGCAUAAUGUCCAUUAAAGGCGUUUCCUUGUUUGUUUCUCGUUUUCAAGCUUUCCCAAUACACCUAGCCCCUAGGACGUCUUCUAGCAUUGCUUUGUAGCCUUUUGAACACUCUGAGUCAAGUUUAGUUACAAUAUUAGUGAAACGUUUGUCCAUAAUUACCGAGCGAAUUACCGACUUAUUUUAGGUGCCAUGGUCAAUUUCACAUGCAGGCGUGGCAUAUUUUUGAACGUUUUAGCUUUUACAAACUUUUCGUUUAUGUACAAAUUGUUUUCUGAGAUCUAGAGGAAACGCUAAGCCUUUUGAGUUUCUUGAGGGUUGUCCAAGUUGAAUUUCAUCCAAUAUUUUUGGGAAAUUUAGAGAUGAAAUGUCCUCGUGGUUCAUGCCCUAAUUUUAUGCAUAGAUGCACGCAUUCUUUAAAAUUAAAAUAAAUUGAAUUGGACAACCGCACCCUGUGUAAAGACAUUAAAGAACUCUUUGCUGUUUUGAAACUAACAAUUCGUUGUCCAAUUAUUUAGACUGCCUCAAAGUUGAUCAUUUCGAUGGCAAACAGUACAGAAAGACCUCUGCACAGAUUUGAAGAGAAGCUCGCUUAGCAGUUGAAGCAAAACGAGAAAGACGAGAAGCCAAAGGACUUAAGGACAAAUGAGACCAGCCGCCAGCUCCGAUUCCUUUGUGGACUCACGGCAUUCAUCGUCGCAUAUCGUCUACAGUGCAAAGUUAAGGAAGAGAUUGAACUCAUCAGAGAUUGCACAAAGACCGUAACGAAAUCAUAUGAUAACAUACCCGGGACUGUCUGCCGUACCAUCCAGAGACCAUAACCAAUACGCCAUACCAUCGCCAAAGAUGUUGCCCAUUGCAGAAGGUAUAUAUUUCUCUCGUGAUUCUCGUUGUGCGUGUUCGAAAUUACGUAGGGACCACCCUGAAGACGCCCAAAUGCACAAAACAAAUUUAAAUAUGGCACAUUUUCCUUAAUUUCGCAAUUUAUUCAAAUUUUCUAUAUUUCUUGGUAUUUGUGAAAAGCUCUUGACGAAAUCAAAAUGUUUGAAAUUCGGAAGUUUCCAUCUGGGAGUUUGUUUAUCUGAAAGAUAUUUGAAAUGAAAUUUCGAAGUUUACAUCACUUUGGUAUUUGGUUUAAACGCUAGGUAAAAUCAUGCCAGAUGAGUGGUCGAUCAUUCGUCGAAGUUCGGUGAUACUUCGGCUCGGACUUUCCAGACCUAUAGUUGAGUUGCUCUGAUCGAUUGUCGUGAUCAACUAGCGCAAAUGUAAGGUCUGGCCAACCUUGUGUUUGUGCUUUUUGUUCGUGGCAUGAGAUUGGGACAGCUCGCCUGUAGGCCUGGAAAGAUCAAGCCGAAGUACCACCAAACUUUGAUUUGUGGCCGGCUUUUUGUCUGUAUGGCUUUAUCCAGUGUUUUCCCGUUAUCAUUUUGAUGUUGACUUUGGGAUUUCGGCUUGAAUAUCUUUAAUAUAAACAUUCUUUGAGGUUUAAUCUUUCAAGAAUUUCAUGGGUUUUGACUAGUUAAUGUGUUUUUCGUAGAUACUAUAAUUGUAUUAAAAAUAUCGACCAAAAAAAAUUUAAAACUGACCAAAACGUCAUUUGAGGUGUCGGAUGGGAGGUCCAGUGAGAGUCGUAGCGGAUACCAAAGGAUAAAUACGGAUUACUGUGACACUGUGCGCUAUUGGAGAUAUUGUGAACAUUUAUGGAUAAUUGUGAACAUUAAUGGAUUACAACGAACACUUGUGGAUUAUUAUGAACAUUUGUGGAUAAAAUUGCCUCUCGAUCGACGGUUACCUACCAAUGUACCUUGACGACGAAAGCUGCACGACAGCAACGAGAUGACUGCCUCAAGGUUAGAGGGUUUAGUCUGAUAACAAGCAGUAGUUAGCUUGUUAUCAGACAGUAGUUAGCCUGCUAUCAGGCAGUCAAGUUAGCCUGCUAACAGGCAGUAUAUUUGUAGGAUUCAUACCCAAGACUCUAAUUUGCAUGUGGUCGGUGAAGUCUCUGGGUUAACCGGUUUAAAAUUCCUGGCGGUCUGUGGUUAGUAGUACAUUUGCACGCAAGGUUGACUUUUAUUCGGAUGUUUGCAUGCUAAUAAAAAAUGAGAUAUUGACCUCAGUUAAUCAGAAUUUCGACAUCAUCUGAAUCGAAAGUCAAUCUUAAGAGGUUAACAUUUGAGCUUCCGGUCACGUGGUUCUUUGCAUGCACUCGGUUCGGUUACUGGUGGGUUUCAGUAAGUGUUACAAUCCAGACGAUGGAGAAAUUUAUUUGUUUCAAGUACUUCCUGGAGCAAUUUAUUUGCUUCAAAUACAAGACUACUACAUAAAGUGAAAAGGAGUGAACAUUAUUUUUUCACUCCAGUAACUCGUAGUGAGACCCACUAGCUAUUUACAGUCUGUUCGUGCCAAUGUUGUUCUCUUUGUGUAAAUGUACUGCUUAGGUGUCUCCGUGUCUGUGCAUGAACGCAACGCGCAACUAGUAUCCAGAGUAUAGGCAAACAAGUAAAACUUUGACAGACUUUAAAAUCUUGUUUAUAUCGAUGUGUUACGUUCAUAAAUGUAUAGAAAUAUCAUGAAAUGUGUUAGGCUUUGGCUUGGGGUUAAAUCUAACCCUAGAACCUUGACCUUAAUCCAUUACAUGAUCUGUAUAUUUGUGUGCGUAAUAUAUGGGUGUGGCCAAAAUUUUGUUGAAAAGCUGGCAUAGUUUUCCUUCGGUAGGAUAACUAAACUGGGUGCAAAUGGUAUCCAUAGCUUAGAGGGUGCAAAUGGUACCCGUAAGAAGAUUGGUGGAUAUUUCUGGACAUGAUUUUUUGAAAGAUGUGGAUUCUCCCCGGGUACUCCGGUUUCCACCUACAGAAAGAUCAGCUUAGGACUGUAACGACAUAAGUAUUGUAAAUCUAAAUAGUCUAGGCUUUACUGAAUAAUAAAGUUAAUUGCGUGGUUUCAUCGCCCGUAGUGCAUGUAUAUCGCUGGUUUCGAACGUUAGUUUUCUGCCCGAGUUAUAUGAAAACAGUUCGCUACCAGAGAUUAGGUUCCCUCUCUGUUAUGGCGGCUCGACGAUGGAAGACAUUAACAUAAGGCAUGCAAACCUUACCCCUGUUUGUGGAAGCUCAUCAGGUGCAACCGGCACACACUAGGUUAAGUUAAGUUAAGUUAAGUUAAGCUAGGGGCAUGACCGAGAUUCCACAUUUGGGGGUUUCCCUUGCAGGUUUUUGAACGGGUAUAUGCGCGCGCGCACUAGUUAGGAAGGUUAGGCAGAUAGAAAUAGGGCGCUUUGCGGCAUGUAUACUAUAAGGCAUGUUUACUAUAAUUCAUUAUCAUCAUAAUUUUGCGCCAGUAACAUUCUGAGAAGUAUUUAACACAGCAGGAAAAUGGAACUGUUUUCCUGUUGAAAAAUACUUACAGAAUCAAUUCAAAGUGGAAAAAAGAAAAUAUUGCGAAAAAGAGAAAUAAAAAAGAAAAUAUUGCGAAAAAGAGAAAUAAAAAAUAUUGCGAAAAAGAGAAAUAAAAAAGAAAACCGCGAAACCACUUUGAAUAUAAGCAACAAUAGUCCAAGAAUACUUGUUGCAGAAAAAACACAACAAAAAAGAAACAAUUUUCUGCCAAGAUAUCUUGGAUUAGGAGCUUAACGAUAAGAAACGUAGUUCUCGUUCCAAAGUGGAGAAUAGGCUCGUUUCUUUAGGUUGCUAAUGCAUUGCGCGCGCGCUUUAUAAAUUGUACUAUAAGUUUUCAGCCGAAAAGACCGCCAGGAAAAAUAGUGUUUUCACGUGUUGCUUUGUUGACGGACAAGUAUUUUAAAAUAAUGGUUUUCUUGUUAACUUGUAUUUCGGCACUUUAACUUGUUCCCAAACAUAGCCGCCGUGAAAACACUCUGCAGAUCAAGUUUAUAUAUGGUCAGCGACAUAGAAUGUUUGCCAUGUUGCAUUCCGUGUUGUCUUACAUUCAUACAUAAGCUUGGUCGAACCAUGGAUCAUAAAAAAACACCAUGGUCGUGCGCAGCUAAUUAACAUAAGCGGCGCGCGCGGCGCGUGCUGCUGUAAUGCGGAGUACAGUCGGUGAGUGUACUCCAUGUGCAAAUAGUGACGUUGUGCUCUAUAUAGUCUUGACUUGAAAUAUAAAUUAAGGUGCAUGUUGAUUAGAAUUAAGUGCGCAACGUUUCAUGCAAACAAAAUUAAACGCGCUCAGAUGCAUGCUUAGUACAAUUAAGGGCAUGAAAACCAGUGCAUGCUAACUUAAAUUGAGUGCGCGCGUUGCAAUUUUCUUGCGCGCGAUAAAGCAAAAUGCGGCAAAAAUCUAAAAUAUAGAAAUGCACACAUCACAUCUUUAAAAUGCACCCAAGUGUCCUAAUAGCUUUUACAAACUAUUGUCAAAUAUGUUGGGCCAUUGGAUUCAUUUGCCACGCACCUUGUCCUGAACAUAUCUGAAAUAUUUUCAAGUUUCAAGGUUAAGAUAAAUAUACCCUUACAUGGAACAAUUUGUUAAUAAAAAGAGGCAUAUUUGUCUUGCGCAAUCUGUAGACUGAAUUUUUCGGGUGGUCUACAAUUUUUUUUGUUGACAUCUCGUGAGAUUUUUUUUAUUUGGAUUUUUUUUUGCAAGAUAUUUACUUUUCUGGAUUUUGGUAGGUAUUGGUAGGUAUUGGUAGGUAUGGUAUAUAUUAUAGUUAAUUCGGUCACACUAGGGUUGGGUUUUCGGAAUCCGGACUCGUAAUCACCAAGGUUUUUCACCAGAUCCUCUGGUUUUCCUCGGGUGAUUACGUAAUUUUUCGUUUGGC